rnacentral:misc_RNA from 1 species
UCCACCCUCAAGCUCCGCUUGGCAUUGGGUCGGCGUCGGGGGCCAAUCCCCUGACGGACCUCAAAGAUAGUGGUGGAUCCCCGGGUGAAUCCCCAGACGCAGCGAGCUCCUUCGGCACGCGUCGCGGGGUUUCCCGGCUCCACCUCGACCCCACAGAUUUAACC